UUCUUCCUGCAGAAUUAGUAAACACUUCCAAUCUAAGAAUUCCGAAGUUGAGUCGUUUACUCGCCAACUUCUUUUAACUUACCGAGCCUCACGGACUGGAAGAAACGGCGUUCGCCAAAGCAAAGAAUAUGUAUUGCUAUAGAAGACAUUUUGCAAAAUCUCCGGCAUCAGAUCUUACUCUUCGAGACAAGCAAAUGGCAAAUCAGGAAUCUUAAAUUAUCCACUUUUUCAUAUCAGAAGAUGUUUUUGGUUCAGUAGGAGGUAAUGACAGGCAUACAUGUCUUGACUGUUAUAGGAAAUGGAAUUCAGCUUCAUAAUACAUCCAAACUGCAAAUGUGGAAGCAUAUCUUAUAGU